AGUAAAAGUCGUAACAAGGUCUCCGUAGGUGAACCUGCGGAGGGAUCAUUACCGAGUGAGGGCCUCCGGGUCCGACCUCCAACCCCUUUGUUGUACCGACCCUGUUGCCUCGGGGGCGACCCGGCCUUCGGGCGUCUUGGGGCCCCCGGUGGACCACUCCAAACACUGCAUCUUUAGCGUCUGAGUCAGAUAUUGAAUCAAUCAAAACUUUCAACAACGGAUCUCUUGGUUCUGGCAUCGAUGAAGAACGCAGCGAAAUGCGAUAAGUAAUGUGAAUUGCAGAAUUCAGUGAAUCAUCGAAUCUUUGAACGCACAUUGCGCCCCUUGGUAUUCCGGGGGGCAUGCCUGUUCGAGCGUCAUUACACCACUCAAGCCUGGCUUGGUAUUGGGCGUCCGCGGCCGCUUUACGCGACCGCGCGCUCUAAUGUCUUCGGCUGAGCCGUCCGUCUCUAAGCGUUGUGGUCUUUUCAGAUUCGCUUGCGAGGCUGGGCUGGUUCGAUCGCCGUUAAAACACCCCUCUUUCAAGGUUGACCUCGGAUCAGGUAGGGAUACCCGCUGAACUUAAGCAUAUCAAUAAGCGGAGGAAAAGAAACCAACAGGGAUUGCCCCAGUAACG
rnacentral:rRNA from 1 species